rnacentral:rRNA from 1 species
GUGCCAGCCGCCGCGGUAAUACCGGCAGCCCGAGUGAUGGCCGAUCUUAUUGGGCCUAAAGCGUCCGUAGCUGGCUGCGCAAGUCCGUCGGGAAAUCCACUCGCCCAACGAGUGGGCGUCCGACGGAAACUGCGUGGCUUGGGACCGGAAGGCGCGACGGGUACGUCCGGGGUAGGAGUGAAAUCCUGUAAUCCCGUCCGGACCACCGAUGGCGAAAGCACUUCGAGAAAACGGAUCCGACAGUGAGGGACGAAAGCUAAGAUCGCGAACCGGAUUAGAAACCCGGGUAGUCC